UCGGGAAUUUUGCUCAAUGGGGGAAACCCUGAAGCAGCAACGCCGCGUGAGGGAUGAAUGCCUUCGGGUUGUAAACCUCUUUUUUCAGGGACGAUGAUGACGGUACCUGGAGAAUAAGUCACGGCUAACUACGUGCCAGCAGCCGCGGUAAUACGUAGGUGACCAGCGUUGUCCGGAUUUACUGGGCGUAAAGAGCGCGCAGGCGGUCCUUCAAGUCGAGUGUGAAAGCCCCCGGCUCAACUGGGGAGGGUCAUUCGAUACUGAUGGACUCGAAGGCAGGAGAGGGAAGCGGAAUUCCCGGUGUAGUGGUGAAAUGCGUAGAUAUCGGGAGGAACACCAGUGGCGAAGGCGGCUUCCUGGCCUGUUCUUGACGCUGAGGCGCGAAAGCUAGGGGAGCAAACGGGAUUAGAUACCCCGGUAGUCCUAGCCGUAAACGAUGGACACGUAGGUGUUGGUGGUAUCAACCCCACCAGUGCCGAAGCUAACGCAUUAAGU
rnacentral:rRNA from 1 species